AUUGAACGCUGGCGGCAGGCUUAACACAUGCAAGUCGAGCGGGGUGAUGGUGCUUGCACUAUCACUUAGCGGCGGACGGGUGAGUAAUGCUUAGGAAUCUGCCUAUUAGUGGGGGACAACAUCUCGAAAGGGAUGCUAAUACCGCAUACGUCCUACGGGAGAAAGCAGGGGAUCACUUGUGACCUUGCGCUAAUAGAUGAGCCUAAGUCGGAUUAGCUAGUUGGGGGGGUAAAGGCCUACCAAGGCGACGAUCUGUAGCGGGUCUGAGAGGAUGAUCGGCCACACUGGGACUGGGACACGGCCCAGACUCCUACGGGAGGCAGCAGUGGGGAAUAUUGGACAAUGGGGGGAACCCUGAUCCAGCCAUGCCGCGUGUGUGAAGAAGGCCUUAUGGUUGUAAAGCACUUUAAGCGAGGAGGAGGCUCUUUUGGUUAAUACCCAAGAUGAGUGGACGUUACUCGCAGAAUAAGCACCGGCUAACUCUGUGCCAGCAGCCGCCGCGG
rnacentral:rRNA from 1 species